UUGCCAGGCAACCUGUGAGCAGGGAUUGAGUAGAGACUAAAGCAAACAGCAGCCUCCACCCGCCACCCCAGGAACCUCGUGCUUCUAGGUAAUGAAUCUCCCACCACAGCUCCACUGGAUGGAACCGCCCCAGCUUCCUCCAGCCCAAACUGCUGCACCCACCACCCAGAGAAAUGGAAGUCAAGGACUCAGCAGUCCAAGGCAGCCCUUCUGAAGCAACUUCAGGGGCUCAGCAAAUAUUUGUUGAGAACCUCCUCUGUGCCUGGCUGGAUCAGGGUGGGGCUGUAGAGCUGCACAUCAUAGUCUGCAUCCGGGUCAGCCCUGAAUCUCAGGCACUGGAAGGUUACCCUGAUGGGCAGGACCCACUCCCAUCACUAAGAGAACAUCAAAAGGGCAGGUGUGGGGGUGGAUAGGAAGAUCAGGAUCUCUGAAAGGAAAUUUGCAUUGUGGUAACCUACAGACUCCACCUGGACCCAUGAUUCAUGACUCAACCAGUCCACCCAGAAGCUGACUCAGAGCAUAAGGAGCAUUUUCCACACCCCUAGGAUUUCAUCUCCAACCAAUCAGCAUUCCCCAUUCUCUAGCCCCUGUCCACCAAACUAUUCUUUAAAAACCUUAGCUCUAAGCUUUAUUUAUUUAUUUAAGUAAUACACUCCUGUCUUCCACUUAGCUGGUUCUGUAUUUAUUAAACUCUUUCUCUACUGCCAUACCGCUAUCUCAGUAAAUUAGCUCUAUCUGUGCAGUUGGCAAGAAGAACUGGUCAGGUGGUUAAAACACUACAGAUAGGCAUUGUUAAACAAAACAAUGGACUAAGCCCCUGCACUAGGCUCCAACAGAACAGACAAAAUCAAAAUGGAGUCACUCAUGCUAAAUGUCAUAUAAUCAAACUGAAACUCUAAGGAAGCUGAUAAAUCCUAAAACAGACCUUUUUUUUUCCUGAAAACAGGAAAUUUCAGUCUACCAGAGUCAACCUAGUAAGAAAGUUGCCUCUUCUUUGACCUUUAUGAGAAAGUAACCUGAAGUAACCUGACAUUAAUGAAUCAGCUUCUCUUCUACUAUUCUGUUUCCUUACUCCCACCUUACAAAGCUCACUGCUCUGCUUGCCCUAGUGAGAGAACUCAUUCUAUUGUGUAGAGUAGAGUCAGCCAUGAUUCAUGAAUUAUGAAUAAAAGACAAUUAGAUCUAUAACUAAGUUUGCUGUAAUUUUAUCUUUUGACAGCACUAUUGAUAUGGUUUGGAUGUUUGUCCCCUCCAAAUCUCAUAUUGAAAUGUAAUCCCCAGUGUUGAAGUUGGGGCCAAGUAGGAGUGGUGUGGGUCAUAGGGGCAGAUCCCUCAUGAAUGGCUUCGUGCCCUCCCUCACAGGAAUGAGUAGUUCCCACUCUACUAUUCAUGCAAGAGUUGGUUGUUUAGAAGAGGCCCGGCAUCUCUCUUGCUCUCUCUCUCUCACUAUGUGACACGCUGGCUCCCUUCCCCUUCUGCCAUGAUUAGAUGCUUCCUGAAGCCCUCGCCAGAGGCAGAUGCUGGCAUCAUGCUUCUGGUGCCAUGCUUGUACAGUCUGCAGAACAAUAAGCCAAAUAAAUCUCUUUUCUUUAGAAAUUACCCAGCCUCAGGCAUUCCUUUAUAGCAACACAAAAUGUACUAACACAACUAUUAUCGCCCCUAUUUUACAGAUGUGGAAACUGAGAAUCAGGAUAUUUUGUUGUCUUAGCCAAGGAAAAAUAGCAAGUAUUGUGGUGGAGAUUUGAGGCCAUCUGGUCCAGUGUCUUUGCUUUUUCCUACACCACUUUUUAAAGAUGAGGUUUUAAAAAAUGGCCCUAGUUCCUGAAUACUUGCUGUUGGGAGUAGCUGUGUUAGGAAGAGAGCUUUGGCCCAUGUCCUACCACAUAUGACUUCAGCCCUGCCUCUCUGGCCCACAGCCUGUCACCCUGUCAGAGAAGGAAAUCAGAGUCCACCAAAGUUACAGUAAUGCCCCCUAGAUGGCCAAAGAGAGAAGUAGACAAGAGUCCAUUGCCAUGGUGUUCAGCUUAGACUGGUGGGCUGGAGGCUGUUCUCAGGGUCCUACCAGCCCCACAGCUCUGGGGGAGGAGUUGGUGCAGCCACUCACAGGGGUGGGAGAGACAGCCAGAUGGGGCUGGCUCAUGCAGGCAGGGGUGGGUAAGCCUUUCUCUCCAGGAUGUCAGGGUUAUUAGGAGGGUGCCCAAGUCACUACCACAAGGUAGCCUAGAGUCUGCAUCCCCCAGGAUGUCCCCAGUCAUCCUCACCUCCUGGUAUUCAUGCCAUGGUCCAGUCCUCACCCACACUGAAUAGAGCUGACCUGUGUGACCAAUAGGAUAUUACAGAAAUGAUGGUAAAUGACUUCUGAGGCCAGGUCGUAAAAGACAUUACAGUUUCCAGCUGGCAGUUUCUUUUGGAUUAUUCUCUCUGGGGGAAGCCAACCACCAUGUCAGCAGGAUGCUCAAGCAGCCCAUGGAGACACCCAUAAAGUAGGGGACUGAAGCCUCCUACCGACAGCUAGCACAAAUUAUUUUUUGGAGACAGGAUCUCAAUUUGUCUCCCAGACAGAGUGCAGUGGUGCAGUCAUGGCUCACUGCAUCCUCAACCUCCCAGGCUCGAGAGAUCCUACCUCUUCAGCAUCCUAAGUAGCUGGGACCACAGGCAUGUGCCACCAUGCCCAGCUGAUUUUUUAAAACUUUUUUAUUUAUAGAGACAGGGUCUCCCUGUGUUGCCUAGGCUGGAUCACCAAUUUUUCACUUGUGUGUGAGAGCCACCUUGCAAGUGGGUCCUCCAGCCCUAGUCGAACCUUCAGAUGACUGCAACCCUGGCCCACAACUUGACUGUGUUAACCUAAAUAACAAAUAUAGAGAGGCUGUCUAAAAGAAAAGAUGUUUAUUUGGGACUAGAGCAUUGCAAUGGGAAUAUGUGUGCCAUAGUAAAUUAUGUGCAUAUUCAUGGAGGUAAAGG
rnacentral:lncRNA from 1 species